rnacentral:rRNA from 1 species
CCUACGGGAGGCAGCAGUGAGGAAUAUUGGUCAAUGGACGAGAGUCUGAACCAGCCAAGUAGCGUGAAGGAUGACUGCCCUAUGGGUUGUAAACUUCUUUUAUAAAGGAAUAAAACGAGGCACGUGUGCCUUUUUGCAUGUCCUUUAUCAAUAAGGAUCGGCUAACUCCGGGCCAGCAGCCGCGGUAAUACGGAGGUUCCGAGCGUUAUCCGGAUUUAUUGGGUUUAAAGGGUGCGUAGAUGGGUUGUUAAGUCAGUGGUGAAAGUUUGCGGGUCAACCGUAAAAUUGCAAUUGAUACUGGCAGCCUUGAGUACAGUAGAGGUAGGCGGAAUUCGUGGUGUAGCGGUGAAAUGCUUAGAUAUCACGAAGAACACCGGUUGCGAAGGCAGCUUACUAAACUGCCACUGACAUUGAUGCUCGAAAGUGUGGGUAUCAAACAGGAUUAGAUACCCGAGUAGUC